rnacentral:rRNA from 1 species
UACGUAGGGGCCGAGCGUUGUCCGGAGUUAUUGGGCGUAAAGCGCGCGCAGGCGGCUUGACGCGCCCGACGUGAAAGCCCCCGGCUUAACCGGGGAGGGUCGUCGGGUACGGUCAGGCUUGAGGGCGGGAGAGGGUGGUGGAAUUCCCGGUGUAGUGGUGAAAUGCGUAGAGAUCGGGAGGAACACCUGUGGCGAAGGCGGCCACCUGGGCCGACCCUGACGCUGAGACGCGAAAGCAUGGGGAGCGAACAGG